UAAUUUAAAGUCUAACCUGCCCAAUGAUUAUUUGAAUGGCUGCGGUAAUUUGACCGUACUAAGGUAGCAUAAUAAUUAGUUUUUUAAUUGAAAGCUGGUAUGAAUGGUUGGACGAGAAAAUAACUGUCUCAAUUUAAUUUAAUUAGAAUUUUAUCUUUAAGUUAAAAAGCUUAAAUGAAUUUAAAAGACGAGAAGACCCUAUAGAGUUUUAUAUUUUAUAUUUAUUGUAAAUUUUAAGGAUUUUAUAUUUCUUUAAUUAUAAAAUAUUUUGUUGGGGUGACAAAAAAAUUUAAAUAACUUUUUUUAUAUUAUUUCAUUGAUUUAUGAGUAAG
rnacentral:rRNA from 1 species